rnacentral:rRNA from 1 species
GAUGAACGCUGGCGGCGUGCCUAAUACAUGCAAGUCGAGCGAACAGAUAAGGAGCUUGCUCCUUUGACGUUAGCGGCGGACGGGUGAGUAACACGUGGGUAACCUACCUAUAAGACUGGAAUAACUCCGGGAAACCGGGGCUAAUGCCGGAUAACAUUUAGAACCGCAUGGUUCUAAAGUGAAAGAUGGUUUUGCUAUCACUUAUAGAUGGACCCGCGCCGUAUUAGCUAGUUGGUAAGGUAACGGCUUACCAAGGCAACGAUACGUAGCCGACCUGAGAGGGUGAUCGGCCACACUGGAACUGAGACACGGUCCAGACUCCUACGGGAGGCAGCAGUAGGGAAUCUUCCGCAAUGGGCGAAAGACUGACGGAGCAACGCCGCGUGAGUGAUGAAGGGCUUCGGAUCGGAAAACUCUGUUAUUAGGGAAGAACAAAUGUGUAAGUAACUGUGCACGUCUUGACGGUACCUAAUCAGAAAGCCACGGCUAACUACGUG